GAUGAAGAACGCAGCGAAAUGCGAUAAGUAAUGUGAAUUGCAGAAUUCAGUGAAUCAUCGAAUCUUUGAACGCACAUUGCGCCCGGCAGCAAUCUGCCGGGCAUGCCUGUCCGAGCGUCAUUUCUUCCCUCGAGCGCGGCUAGCCCUACGGGGCCUGCCGUCGCCCGGUGUUGGGGCUCUACGGGUGGGGCUCGUCCCCCCCGCAGUCCCCGAAAUGUAGUGGCGGUCCAGCCGCGGCACCCCCUGCGUAGUAGAUCCUACAUCUCGCAUCGGGUCCCGGCGAAGGCCAGCCGUCGAACCUUUUAUUUUCAUGGUUUGACCUCGGAUCAGGUAGGGUUACCCGCUGAACUUAAGCAUAUCAAUAAGCGGAGGA
rnacentral:misc_RNA from 1 species